GCCGAUGUAGUUUAAUGGUAGAACGCUACUUUCGUAAAGUAAGGAUAUGGGUUCGAUUCCCAUCUUCGGCUCCA
rnacentral:tRNA from 1 species